GUUGGUGGAGUGAUUUGUCUGCUUAAUUGCGAUAACGAACGAGACCUCAACCUGCUAAAUAGUCACGCCAGCCUUGUCCGCGUACUAUGCUUUCGGGUGUAAUAUUCGGUGCUGUGCGGAAGUACUUCUUAGAGGGACUAUGUGUGUUGAGCACAUGGAAGUUUGAGGCAAUAACAGGU
rnacentral:rRNA from 1 species